AACGAACGCUGGCGGCAUGCCUAACACAUGCAAGUCGAACGAGACCUUCGGGUCUAGUGGCGCACAGGUGCGUAACGCGUGGGAACCUGCCCUUAGGUUCGGAAUAACUCCCCGAAAGGGGUGCUAAUACCGGAUAAUGUCUUCGGACCAAAGAUUUAUCGCCUUUGGAUGGGCCCGCGUUGGAUUAGCUAGUUGGUAGGGUAAAAGCCUACCAAGGCGACGAUCCAUAGCUGGUCUGAGAGGAUGAUCAGCCACACUGGGACUGAGACACGGCCCAGACUCCUACGGGAGGCAGCAGUGGGGAAUAUUGGACAAUGGGCGAAAGCCUGAUCCAGCAAGGCCGCGUGAGUGAUGAAGGCCUUAGGGUUGUAAAGCUCUUUUACCCGGGAUGAUAAUGACAGUACCGGGAGAAUAAGCUCCGGCUAACUCCGUG
rnacentral:rRNA from 1 species